rnacentral:rRNA from 1 species
GACGAACGCUGGCGGCGUGCUUAACACAUGCAAGUCGAACGGAAAGGCCCUGCUUUCGUGGGGUGCUCGAGUGGCGAAGGGGUGUGUAACAUGUGAGUAACCUGCCCUUGAUUUUGGGAUAUCUUGAGGAAAGUGGGGAUAAUACCGGAUAGGAGCUCCUGAUGGUGGGUGGGGGUUGGACAGUUUCGGCGGGUGGGGAUGGACUCGGGGUUUAUUAGCUUGUUGGUGGGGUAGUGGCUAACCCAGGGAUUGGUGGGUAGCCGGCCUGGGUGGUGGACCGGCGACAUUGGAACUAGGGUAGGGCCCAGACGCCUACGGUGGGCAGCGGUGGGGAGUAUGGCACAGUGGGGGGAAGCCUGUGGCGGCAACCCCGGGUGCGGAAUGACGGCCUUGGGGUGGUAAACCGCUUUCACCUGUGACGAAGCGUUUGUGACGGUAAUAAGAAAAGAAGCACCGGCUAACUACGUG